rnacentral:rRNA from 3 species
GCGUUCUGUAAGCCUGUGAAGGUGAGUUGAGAAGCUUGCUGGAGGUAUCAGAAGUGCGAAUGCUGACAUGAGUAACGACAAUGGGUGUGAAAAACACCCACGCCGAAAGACCAAGGGUUCCUGCGCAACGUUAAUCGACGCAGGGUUAGUCGGUUCCUAAGGCGAGGCUGAAAAGCGUAGUCGAUGGGAAACAGGUUAAUAUUCCUGUACUUCUGGUUACUGCGAUGGAGGGACGGAGAAGGCUAGGCCAGCUUGGCGUUGGUUGUCCAAGUUUAAGGUGGUAGGCUGAAAUCUUAGGUAAAUCCGGGGUUUCAAGGCCGAGAGCUGAUGACGAGUCGUCUUUUAGAUGACGAAGUGGUUGAUGCCAUGCUUCCAAGAAAAGCUUCUAAGCUUCAGGUAACCAGGAACCGUACCCCAAACCGACACAGGUGGUCGGGUAGAGAAUACCAAGGCGCUUGAGAGAACUCGGGUGAAGGAACUAGGCAAAAUGGCACCGUAACUUCGGGAGAAGGUGCGCCGGCUAGGGUGAAGGAUUUACUCCGUAAGCUCUGGCUGGUCGAAGAUACCAGGCCGCUGCGACUGUUUAUUAAAAACACAGCACUCUGCAAACACGAAAGUGGACGUAUAGGGUGUGACGCCUGCCCGGUGCCGGAAGGUUAAUUGAUGGGGUUAGCGCAAGCGAAGCUCUUGAUCGAAGCCCCGGUAAACGGCGGCCGUAACUAUAACGGUCCUAAGGUAGCGAAAUUCCUUGUCGGGUAAGUUCCGACCUGCACGAAUGGCGUAACGAUGGCGGCGCUGUCUCCACCCGAGACUCAGUGAAAUUGAAAUCGCUGUGAAGAUGCAGUGUAUCCGCGGCUAGACGGAAAGACCCCGUGAACCUUUACUGUAGCUUUGCACUGGACUUUGAGCCUGCUUGUGUAGGAUAGGUGGGAGGCUUUGAAGCGUGGACGCCAGUUCGCGUGGAGCCAUCCUUGAAAUACCACCCUGGCAUGCUUGAGGUUCUAACUCUGGUCCGUGAUCCGGAUCGAGGACAGUGUAUGGUGGGCAGUUUGACUGGGGCGGUCUCCUCCUAAAGAGUAACGGAGGAGUACGAAGGUGCGCUCAGACCGGUCGGAAAUCGGUCGCAGAGUAUAAAGGCAAAAGCGCGCUUGACUGCGAGACAGACACGUCGAGCAGGUACGAAAGUAGGUCUUAGUGAUCCGGUGGUUCUGUAUGGAAGGGCCAUCGCUCAACGGAUAAAAGGUACUCCGGGGAUAACAGGCUGAUACCGCCCAAGAGUUCAUAUCGACGGCGGUGUUUGGCACCUCGAUGUCGGCUCAUCACAUCCUGGGGCUGAAGCCGGUCCCAAGGGUAUGGCUGUUCGCCAUUUAAAGUGGUACGCGAGCUGGGUUUAGAACGUCGUGAGACAGUUCGGUCCCUAUCUGCCGUGGACGUUUGAGAUUUGAGAGGGGCUGCUCCUAGUACGAGAGGACCGGAGUGGACGAACCUCUGGUGUUCCGGUUGUCACGCCAGUGGCAUUGCCGGGUAGCUAUGUUCGGAAAAGAUAACCGCUGAAAGCAUCUAAGCGGGAAACUUGCCUCAAGAUGAGAUCUCACUGGGAACUUGAUUCCCCUGAAGGGCCGUCGAAGACUACGACGUUGAUAGGCUGGGUGUGUAAGCGUUGUGAGGCGUUGAGCUAACCAGUACUAAUUGCCCGUGAGGCUUGACCAU